rfam:Dipodomys ordii contig_13153, whole genome shotgun sequence.
GGUGGCUCAGUGGUAGAGCACUUGCCUUGCAUGCAUGAGGCCCUGGCUUCGAUUCCUCAGCACCA